CUGGACUGUAUUCACUCUUCCUGUGUGUCCAUUCAGCACAGCCACAACUCGCCUCUCCUGCGGUCAAACCAAAUGUGUUUUAUUAAGUGCCAUUUACUGACACUAGACAGAUGCAGCAGAGUGGCUUAAUUAAUGAGGGGACCAACCUUCAGCCAGAAGACCAAUGUUCAAAUCUUCAAGCAUCCAUCUAUAUCUCUCCAAACGACACAGAUGACACAUACACUGCUGUGUUGGACUGGAUUAUCCCCUUGCCAAGUGGUGACUGGUCGCAGC